rnacentral:rRNA from 1 species
CNGCNGUCGACGAUUCCUACGGGAGGCAGCAGUGGGGAAUCUUGCACAAUGGGCGCAAGCCUGAUGCAGCAACGCCGCGUGAGGGAUGACGGCCUUCGGGUUGUAAACCUCUUUCAGCACCGACGAAACGCAAGUGACGGUAGGUGCAGAAGAAGGACCGGCCAACUACGUGCCAGCAGCCGCGGUAAUACGUAGGGUCCGAGCGUUGUCCGGAAUUACUGGGCGUAAAGAGCUCGUAGGUGGUUUGUCGCGUUGUCCGUGAAAUCCCACAACUCAAUUGUGGGUCUGCGGGCGAUACGGGCAGACUGGAGUACUGCAGGGGAGACUGGAAUUCCUGGUGUAGCGGUGGAAUGCGCAGAUAUCAGGAGGAACACCGGUGGCGAAGGCGGGUCUCUGGAACGGUACUGACGCUGAGACGCGAAAGCGUGGGGAGCAAACAGGAUUAGAUACCCUGGUAGUCCACGCCGUAAACGAUGGGCACUAGUUGUGGGCGGUGCCGACUCCGUCCGUGACGAAGCUAACGCAUUAAGUGCCCCGCCUGGGGAGUACGGCCGCAAGGCUAAAACUCAAAUGAAUUGACGG